rnacentral:lncRNA from 1 species
GUGGCUGACUCCAGCUAUUCCUUCGACUCUUGGAGAAUGUGCACUGAAAGUCAACAAAAUGAAUAGUAAAACCAAUUUAGUUUUGUAUCUCGCUAUAGUCACGCACAGCACUUACUUGUAGUUAGCGAAUUCGUCUUUCAAGAGGGCCACAUAAUUGGCAGGGAUCAGUCCGGACUCCAGGGACCCCGUCAGCUUCUUGGCGAACACAUAAUCUCCCCUCUUUUCUAUGACUGACAGUUUGUCCCCUUCCUUCACCGACAGCUCUUCCUCACUGCGGGCUACAAAGUCGAACAGAGCCGCGUACAGCUGCGCGGGCUUCUUCUUGGGCGCCGGGACCCGGAUAUCACCUGAAACGGUACGAAUGUCGUCCGGACGAUGGAGGUUCGGAUAGUUUUCGGGCCAUAUGCUGUCCCAUAACCGCUUCAGGCAUGGCAUACAGCAGCGACAGCACGUCUCCAUCCCAGCGCGCUCUCUCCACGGACUCCAGCGUAGCCAGAAUAUUUGGCCGCCGUCCACCGAGCGAAACGGGUUGAGAGCAAAAUUAAAGAGGCGUGUGGGUCUCUCACCGAGGGUGACCGACUGACUCUGUACCAGGAUCGCCUUUGUUGAGCUAAAGCACGGGCUGCUGCGAUCAUAGCGGAGGAUCAGGUGAAACCGGUUCUGCUUCAGGAUGGAUCAAGGUAUGCGGAAAAGACAUGCUGGAUUGUUCAACGAGACUUGAAGACGAUGAGAGGAUGGAUGUGGUGGUUGGAGAACAUGCUCUCUUCAUCUGCAUCUGUCCAUGGCGUCCCUCUUCUGCCCUAUAAUGAGCGGUGCAGUGCGCCGCAGUGUUUGGUGCCGCUCUUCUCUCCGCUCCGGAGCAAAACGCUUCGCAGUACGUAAACUUGGCGGAGAGCGACGCUUCGCUCCUGUAGUGCGAUCAUCUGUUCACUGGAAAGCAAGCGCCGCACACUUGAGCUGGCAAAAGCAGCGUGUGUUUAUUUUUAGAUCCACUCAUUAAACGUAGGCUCUGCAAUUAUUAAAAUACACCUCCCUUCUGUAAGAGGAAUAUUUGCGUGCACAUCAGAUGCAUCAGGGGAAUCGUGCAAGAGAGAAAUAACACUGUUCGUGUUCACGUUAUUAUUACUGUACAUGACGGGGACUUUCAUUGAACGUGCACAUAUUGGCUCCUUUUAAAACCACUACCCGAAAAUAAUGGAGGUGACGUCAUGCUUGUAUUAAACUCCUCUGGAGCUGUUUGUCCCUAAAAGACAUUGAAAGCAAAACAGCUAUAAGGAUGUGUACGAUUUUGGAAUCAUUUUUUAUACGAAUUUCUUUAAAUUUAUACGUCCCCUGUAAUUAAAACAUAUAAUCUCCAUUGAUUUGAUGUAAAAAUAAUGUAAGUACUGUAUUCCUCAAUAUUUUGUAUGCUAUUGUUGUUAUACAAUAAAACAUCUUUGCAGCUGUUUGUUCCUUAGGCUACUUUUGUUUUAAUUUUAUUUACUUAUUUAGCUGUUGUUGUACAUAUUGCUUUGUUCAUUUAACAAAUAAAAAAUAGCUGAUUUGGGGAA